rnacentral:rRNA from 1 species
CUACGGGUCGCACCAGUAGGGAAUCUUCGGCAAUGGACGGAAGUCUGACCGAGCAACGCCGCGUGAGUGAAGAAGGUUUUCGGAUCGUAAAGCUCUGUUGUAAGAGAAGAACGAGUGUGAGAGUGGAAAGUUCACACUGUGACGGUAUCUUACCAGAAAGGGACGGCUAACUACGUGCCAGCAGCCGCGGUAAUACGUAGGUCCCGAGCGUUGUCCGGAUUUAUUGGGCGUAAAGCGAGCGCAGGCGGUUAGAUAAGUCUGAAGUUAAAGGCUGUGGCUUAACCAUAGUACGCUUUGGAAACUGUUUAACUUGAGUGCAGAAGGGGAGAGUGGAAUUCCAUGUGUAGCGGUGAAAUGCGUAGAUAUAUGGAGGAACACCGGUGGCGAAAGCGGCUCUCUGGUCUGUAACUGACGCUGAGGCUCGAAAGCGUGGGGAGCAAACAGGAUUAGAUACCCUGGUAGUC